UUGGCGAAUGAAAAAUUUUACGCGUGUACGCGUAAGAAGAAACCUGUUGGUACUUACGUCGCUGGAUUUGCAAAUUGUUGCUGGCCACCCCCGAGAUCUUUCGACUUUUCGAUUUCCGGUGUCGUCCCUUUCCCAGAUGUUGAAGCGAGCCGAAUCGUUACCAUUUCUUUGCUCUUCGACUGUUGCUGAUCGAUUAACACCUGGACCGCAUUUCCCAGCCGGAUGAUUUUACAUCAACGAAAACUCGUCGUGCAGAAAAGAGGAAAGAAGUCUGAGUGGCAGCUGUGAUUGGCGACUCCCCAUCUCGAGCAAUCCAUGGCGUCGAAUUCUCACUUCCCAAAAGAUUUACAGAAUACCUCACUGUGAAAAUUCGGGACCAACGUUAUUCUACGCUUGGACUGCGACCGUUCUGAAACUUUUACAUGUAUCAGCUAAAUAACCGAUCAUCAUUCCUGACUUGUUUGAAACCACGCACUUUCAAACAAGCAAUAAGGCGUCAAACUGAGCUAAACUCUAGAACUGCAGUUACGAACGAUUGAAUGUAAAGGCGCAGAAUUAAUUUGUACGCCUGAGAUACACCACCUAAGCUAGGACGUAUAUAUAUAUAUUCGAAACGAAACAAAACAUGAUCCUCGGAGAAGCAGCCCCUGGAGGGAAAUCGGGCUGUUUAAAUUCGCGGUUCCAAUUCGCCGCGGUGUAGCGUGCCAAUUAAAUUUCAUUGUAAUAAUCGAGUCUGCGGCGGUGUCGGCGGAUCUCGGAGACGAUGCA